GCCAUUAGAAUACGGAUGAUGAUUAGUCCU
rnacentral:piRNA from 1 species